AGUCUGCAUUGUUGCUUUGGUAUUUCAUUAAAAUACUGGAAGUGAUGAGACAAGAAUUUAUUAUACUCCUACAGGAAUCAUAGGACUAUGCCAGACUUGAGACAUAAAGACAUUAAAAGCAUUGGAAUUCUACCUCUAGUGCAGGAAACAGACACCAGAUUCCAACUGAGGAAGUCCUGUGUUUCCCAGAAAUCAGUUAUUGGAACUGUGACGUGGAGCUGUUUCACCUGGGUCCCAUGACGAUGUGGCUACCGAUGCAAGCCAGGGGGACUUAAGAGAACAGAUGGACUUGAGAUGGAGAAAGUCAACUUGAAGAAAAGAAACAAGACAGUCAGACAGGCAUUAAAAAAGCAGAAAUACAGUUUUUAAAAAUCCUAAUAUAAUUAGUGUUGUUUCCAGUUUUUCCUAAGGCUUACCUUUAUUUGCAUCUCUGAAUGCCUUGGGGCAGACAGAUGUGCCAUGGUAUUAAUAAUAACUCUUUGAGGCAGACUGAUUAGAUAAUUAUUAAUAAUUGAUGACAUUGUAGACUAGUAUGGAUGUAUGUUCCUGGCAUUGAUGUUCAGUACCUAUGAGCUCCAGUGAUGCAGACCUGAGUGUAUCCUGUGUAGGAGAAACCAGAAAAGGAAGCAAAUGGGGUUCGUACUAGUGUAUAGCAAAAGGUCGUCUCUUACUGAAUCCUCACCCCCAAAAUGGGUAGGGUAUGUGCCAAAUAUGAACAGGUCUUUCCUUCUAAAAACA
rnacentral:lncRNA from 1 species